UAAAUCCCCGUUAUUUUGAUAAGACCAAUUAUCCAUCUAAGGCAUCAUUUCUCCUAACCAAACAGCAAAGCAAUACUCCGAAUGACGGUUCAACCUCGAGUGACUUCAAUGGCACCAACUCAACUGCCUGGGUUGGCCACAGUAAGAUCCAACCGGGUUUAAGCGUUGGAAGAAGGGGAUUUGGAUGUUCGAUUUUGUUUCUUUCUUUUAUUUUUUGUUAAAAUUACUAGAUUUUAUUUCGUUUGAUUAUGAAAAUUUGAAUUUAUUUGUAAUGAAAUGUGUUGAUUAAGGAUUUUUCAUUUUUGA